GCUUAACGCGAAGAACCUUACCAAGGCUUGACAUACACCGGAAACGGCCAGAGAUGGUCGCCCCCUUGUGGUCGGCGUACAGGUGGUGCAUGGCUGUCGUCAGCUCGUGUCGUGAGAUGUUGGGUUAAGUCCCGCAACGAGCGCAACCCUUGUUCUGUGUUGCCAGCAUGUCCUUCGGGAUGAUGGGGACUCACAGGAGACCGCCGGGGUCAACUCGGAGGAAGGUGGGGAUGACGUCAAGUCAUCAUGCCCCUUAUGUCCAGGGCUUCACGCAUGCUACAAUGGCCGGUACAAUGGGCUGCGAUACCGUGAGGUGGAGCGAAUCCCAAAAAGCCGGUCUCAGUUCGGAUCGGGGUCUGCAACUCGACCCCGUGAAGUCGGAGUCGCUAGUAAUCGCAGAUCAGCAACGCUGCGGUGAAUACGUUCCCGGGUCUUGUACACACCG
rnacentral:rRNA from 1 species